rnacentral:rRNA from 1 species
GUUCCUACGGGGGGCAGCAGUGGGGAAUAUUGCACAAUGGGGGAAACCCUGAUGCAGCGACGCCGCGUGAGUGAAGAAGUAAUUCGUUAUGUAAAGCUCUAUCAGCAGGGAAGAAAAUGACAGUACCUGAGUAAGGAAGCACCGGCUAACUCCGUGCCAGCAGCCGCGGUAAUACGGAGGGUGCGAGCGUUAAUCGGAAUUACUGGGCGUAAAGCGCUCGUAGGCGGUAUGUCAAGUCAAGGGUGAAAUCCCCGCGCUCAACGUGGGAACUGCCUUUGAAACUGGCAAACUGGAGUGUGUGAGAG